rnacentral:lncRNA from 1 species
AGGUUUGGUGCCUGUACAUGUGAAUGAUGUAUUUUGUUGAUCUUAUUUACAGUUUGGUAUAGCUACAUCUCUGACAGUUUGGAAUAGGGACAGCCUCAGCUUUCUACCUGCAAAGCUCCUCUCACUAACUGAAGAAUGUUUCCGCAGAUAUAGCUACAUCUCUGACAGAUGAUAACAAUGUGCAGAGCAGAGGAAGCACAAGCUGAGGAAAGAUCUCAUGAUCUCUCAUUGUGCUGUGAAUGCUG